rnacentral:rRNA from 1 species
GAUGAACGCUGGCGGCGUGCUUAACACAUGCAAGUCGAACGGAAAGGCUCCUGCUUGCAGGGUUACUCGAGUGGCGAACGGGUGAGUAACACUUGGGUGAUCUGCCCUUCACUUCGGGAUAAGCCUGGGAAACUGGGUCUCAUACCGGUUAGGCCUAUGGUUUUUAUGCCAUUUUUGUAAGUUUUUUCGGUGUGGGAUGAGCUCGCGGCCUAUCAGCUUGUUUGUGUGGUAAUGGCCUACCAAGGCGUCGACGGGUAGCCGGCCUGAGAGGGUGUACGGCAAAAUUGGGACUGAGAUACGGCACAGACUCGUAAGGGAGGCAGCAGUAGGGAAUAUUGCACAAUGGGGGCAAGCCGGAUGCAGCGACGCGGCGUGGUGGAUGACGGACUGCGGGUUGUAAACAACUUUCGCUAGGGACGGAGCGCAAGUGACGGUACCUGGAGAAGAAGCACCGGCUAACUACGUG